GGUUAAGCGACUAAGCGUACACGGUGGAUGCCCUGGCAGUCAGAGGCGAUGAAGGACGUGCUAAUCUGCGAUAAGCGUCGGUAAGGUGAUAUGAACCGUUAUAACCGGCGAUUUCCGAAUGGGGAAACCCAGUGUGAUUCGUCACACUAUCAUUAACUGAAUCCAUAGGUUAAUGAGGCGAACCGGGGGAACUGAAACAUCUAAGUACCCCGAGGAAAAGAAAUCAACCGAGAUUCCCCCAGUAGCGGCGAGCGAACGGGGAGCAGCCCAGAGCCUGAAUCAGUGUGUGUGUUAGUGGAAGCGUCUGGAAAGGCGCGCGAUACAGGGUGACAGCCCCGUACACAAAAAUGCACAUACUGUGAGCUCGAUGAGUAGGGCGGGACACGUGGUAUCCUGUCUGAAUAUGGGGGGACCAUCCUCCAAGGCUAAAUACUCCUGACUGACCGAUAGUGAACCAGUACCGUGAGGGAAAGGCGAAAAGAACCCCGGCGAGGGGAGUGAAAAAGAACCUGAAACCGUGUACGUACAAGCAGUGGGAGCCUCUUUAUGGGGUGACUGCGUACCUUUUGUAUAAUGGGUCAGCGACUUAUAUUCUGUAGCAAGGUUAACCGAAUAGGGGAGCCGAAGGGAAACCGAGUCUUAACUGGGCGUUAAGUUGCAGGGUAUAGACCCGAAACCCGGUGAUCUAGCCAUGGGCAGGUUGAAGGUUGGGUAACACUAACUGGAGGACCGAACCGACUAAUGUUGAAAAAUUAGCGGAUGACUUGUGGCUGGGGGUGAAAGGCCAAUCAAACCGGGAGAUAGCUGGUUCUCCCCGAAAGCUAUUUAGGUAGCGCCUCGUGAAUUCAUCUCCGGGGGUAGAGCACUGUUUCGGCAAGGGGGUCAUCCCGACUUACCAACCCGAUGCAAACUGCGAAUACCGGAGAAUGUUAUCACGGGAGACACACGGCGGGUGCUAACGUCCGUCGUGAAGAGGGAAACAACCCAGACCGCCAGCUAAGGUCCCAAAGUCAUGGUUAAGUGGGAAACGAUGUGGGAAGGCCCAGACAGCCAGGAUGUUGGCUUAGAAGCAGCCAUCAUUUAAAGAAAGCGUAAUAGCUCACUGGUCGAGUCGGCCUGCGCGGAAGAUGUAACGGGGCUAAACCAUGCACCGAAGCUGCGGCAGCGACACUAUGUGUUGUUGGGUAGGGGAGCGUUCUGUAAGCCUG
rnacentral:rRNA from 1 species